rnacentral:rRNA from 1 species
GACGAACGCUGGCGGCGUGCUUAACACAUGCAAGUCGAGCGGUAAGGCCCUUUCGGGGGUACACGAGCGGCGAACGGGUGAGUAACACGUGGGUAACCUGCCCUGUACCCUGGGAUAAGCCUUGGAAACGAGGUCUAAUACCGGAUAUGACCUGCUCUCGCAUGGGGGUGGGUGGAAAGUUUUGGCGGUGCAGGAUGGACCCGCGGCCUAUCAGCUUGUUGGUGGGGUGAUGGCCUACCAAGGCGACGACGGGUAGCCGGCCUGAGGGGGCGACCGGCCACACUGGGACUGAGACACGGCCCAGACUCCUACGGGAGGCAGCAGUGGGGAAUAUUGCACAAUGGGCGAAAGCCUGAUGCAGCGACGCCGCGUGAGGGAUGACGGCC